GCGAAAGUGGCGGAAUCGGCAGACGCGCACGUUUGAGGGGCGUGUGGGUAACUCCAUGAGGGUUCAAGUCCCUCCUUUCGCACCA
rnacentral:tRNA from 2 species